GACGUAGGGGGCCAGCGUUGCUCGGAAUUACUGGGUGUAAAGGGUUCGUAGGCGGUGUGGCAAGUCGGGAGUGAAAUCUCUGGGCUCAACCCAGAGUCUGCUUCCGAAACUGCCGUGCUUGAGUGUGGGAGAGGCGCGUGGAAUUGCAGGUGUAGCGGUGAAAUGCGUAGAUAUCUGCAGGAACACCAGUGGCGAAGGCGAGUCCCUGGACAACACCUGACACUGAGGCACGAAAGCUAGGGGAGCAAACAGG
rnacentral:rRNA from 1 species